AGCCGACCUUGAAAUACCACCCUUUAAUGUUUGAUGUUCUAACGUGGACCCGUAAUCCGGGUUGCGGACAGUGUCUGGUGGGUAGUUUGACUGGGGCGGUCUCCUCCUAAAGAGUAACGGAGGAGCACGAAGGUUGGCUAAUCCUGGUCGGACAUCAGGAGGUUAGUGCAAUGGCAUAAGCCAGCUUGACUGCGAGCGUGACGGCGCGAGCAGGUGCGAAAGCAGGUCAUAGUGAUCCGGUGGUUCUGAAUGGAAGGGCCAUCGCUCAACGGAUAAAAGGUACUCCGGGGAUAACAGGCUGAUACCGCCCAAGAGUUCAUAUCGACGGCGGUGUUUGGCACCUCGAUGUCGGCUCAUCACAUCCUGGGGCUGAAGUAGGUCCCAAGGGUAUGGCUGUUCGCCAUUUAAAGUGGUACGCGAGCUGGGUUUAGAACGUCGUGAGACAGUUCGGUCCCUAUCUGCCGUGGGCGCUGGAGAACUGAGGGGGGCUGCUCCUAGUACGAGAGGACCGGAGUGGACGCAUCACUGGUGUUCGGGUUGUCAUGCCAAUGGCACUGCCCGGUAGCUAAAUGCGGAAGAGAUAAGUGCUGAAAGCAUCUAAGCACGAAACUUGCCCCGAGAUGAGUUCUCCCUGAGACUUAGAGUCUCCUGAAGGAACGUUGAAGACGACGACGUUGAUAGGCCGGGUGUGUAAGCGCAGCGAUGCGUUGAGCUAACCGGUACUAAUGAACCGUGAGGCUUAACCUUAC
rnacentral:rRNA from 1 species